UACAGAGGGUGCAAGCGUUGCUCGGAAUUAUUGGGCGUAAAGGGUAGGUAGGUGGUCUCAUUUGUCUCAUGUGAAAUCCUUGGGCUUAACCCAAGAAGUGCGUGAGAAACGGUGAGACUGGAGUCCUGGAGAGGGUCGUGGAAUUCCCGGUGUAGCGGUGAAAUGCGUAGAGCCCGAUCGGAACACCGGUGGCGAAGGCGGCCUGCUGGAGCCGGGCCGACGCUGAGGCGCGAGAGCGCGGGGAGCGAACGGG
rnacentral:rRNA from 1 species